UCGUGUGACUGGGUCUUGGGUCUGGUGCAGUGGGGUGGAUCAUGUGACUGGGUGGCGGUGAGAAAGACACUGGACCUUUCCGUCCAGAUUAUGCUGCCGUAUCUAUAAGGCUGAAUUUGCGCUCCCUUAUCUACGAGAGCUCUACCCUGAGCAUAUGGGUUGCAGAUAGGGUUCCAACAUUUCCAGGUAUUCCUGAAAUCAUAUUCCCCUCCUAAUUCCAGGACUCUUCCAACCAGGAUGUCUGGAAAGCCAUGGAAUUUUGGGAACGUUCCCGGAAUUCUUUGACCCGUGUUGCAGAAAAGGGGAGAUACUGUAGGUGACAUGGAGAAAUGUUAUGAAACAGAAAAGGGGAGAUACUGUAGGUGACAUGGAGAAAUGUUAUGAAACAGAAAAGGGGAGAUACUGUAGGUGACAUGGAGAAAUGUUAUGAAACAGAAAAGGGGAGAUACUGUAGGUGACAUGGAGAAAUGUUAUGAAACAGAAAAGGGGAGAUACUGUAGGUGACAUGGAGAAAUGUUAUGAAACAGAAAAGGGGAGAUACUGUAGGUGACAUGGAGAAAUGUUAUGAAACAGAAAAGGGGAGAUACUGUAGGUGACAUGGAGAAAUGUUAUGAAACAGAAAAGGGGAGAUACUGUAGGUGACAUGGAGAAAUGUUAUGAAACAGAAAAGGGGAGAUACUGUAGGUGACAUGGAGAAAUGUUAUGAAACAGAAAAGGGGAGAUACUGUAGGUGACAUGGAGAAAUGUUAUGAAACAGAAAAGGGGAGAUACUGUAGGUGACAUGGAGAAAUGUUAUGAAACAGAAAAGGGGAGAUACUGUAGGUGACAUGGAGAAAUGUUAUGAAACAGAAAAGGGGAGAUACUGUAGGUGACAUGGAGAAAUGUUAUGAAACAGAAAAGGGGAGAUACUGUAGGUGACAUGGAGAAAUGUUAUGAAACACUCCACCUAUUUUGAAGUUUUCAUAAUUUACUACUGAAAAUGGGGUUUUCAAGUGUCACCUUUCAUUGGCCUCAGACGGGCAAAAACGUCUCACCUCUCAUUGGCCCUGAACAUCUGCUCUUAGCACUCAAUAGUCAACAUGACACUGUCUACCGUGUGAGAAUGUGCUCGGUGAAAGUGAGGAUGCCGGAGAGGGUAUGUCCCAAAUGGCACCCGGUUCCCUUUACAGUGCAAAAGUAGUGCGCCAUAUAGGGAAUAGAGUGCCAUUUGGGAUGGAGAUAAUAAUGAGGCUCU